rnacentral:rRNA from 1 species
GAUCAUGGCUCAGGAUUAACGCUGGCGGCGUGCAUAACACAUUCAAGUCGAACGGAGAGAUAUAGCCAUUGGGUAGUAUUGAUCAGUGGCGGACGGGUGAGUAACGCGUGAGUAACCUGCCUGUGAGAGGGGAAUAACAGCUGGAAACGGGUGCUAAUACCGCAUAAAAGCAUAAUAAUCGCAUGAUUGAUAUGCCAAAGAGAGAUCGCUCACAGAUGG